CACAGGUUUGGUCCCAGCCUUCCUAUUGACCCUUAAUAGACUUACACAUGCAAGCAUCCACACCCCAGUGAAAAUGCCCUCCAAGUUAAUAAGACUAAGAGGAGCUGGUAUCAAGCACACAUCCGUAGCUUACGACACCUUGCAUAGCCACACCCCCACGGGAGACAGCAGUGAUAAAAAUUAAGCCAUAAACGAAAGUUUGACUAAGCCAUAUUAAUUAGGGUUGGUAAAUUUCGUGCCAGCCGCCGCGGUCAUACGAUUAACCCAAGUUAAUAGGCACACGGCGUAAAGCGUGUUAAAGCACUAUUCUAAAUAAAGUUAAAUUCCAAUUAAGCUGUAAAAAGCCAUAAUUGCAACAAAAAUAAACAACGAAAGUAACUUUACAGCCGCUGAAACACGAUAGCUAGGACCCAAACUGGGAUUAGAUACCCCACUAUGCCUAGCCUUAAACACAAAUAGUUAUAUAAACAAAACUAUUCGCCAGAGUACUACCGGCAAUAGCUUAAAACUCAAAGGACUUGGCGGUGCUUUAUACCCUUCUAGAGGAGCCUGUUCUAUAAUCGAUAAACCCCGAUAAACCUCACCAUUCCUUGCUACUACAGUCUAUAUACCGCCAUCUUCAGCAAACCCUAAAAAGGUACAAAAGUAAGCACAAUCAUAAUACAUAAAAACGUUAGGUCAAGGUGUAACCUAUGGAACGGAAAAAAAUGGGCUACAUUUUCUAAUCUAAGAAAAUCCAACACGAAAGUUAUUAUGAAACUAGUAACCAAAGGAGGAUUUAGCAGUAAACUAAGAAUAGAGUGCUUAGUUGAAUUAGGCCAUGAAGCACGCACACACCGCCCGUCACCCUCCUCAAGUAGGCACAAUACACUCAAACUUAUAUACACGUAUUAAUCAUAUGAGAGGAGACAAGUCGUAACAAGGUAAGCAUACUGGAAAGUGUGCUUGGAUAAAU
rnacentral:ncRNA from 1 species